CUCUUUGGUGAUCUAAGCUGUAUGACCUUUCCCAUUUGGUAUAUCAUAAAGCUAGAUUACCGAAGUC
rnacentral:pre_miRNA from 13 species